rnacentral:rRNA from 1 species
AACGAACGCUGGCGGCAUGCCUAACACAUGCAAGUCGAACGAGACCUUCGGGUCUAGUGGCGCACGGGUGCGUAACGCGUGGGAACCUGCCCUUAGGUUCGGAAUAACUCUCCGAAAGGGGUGCUAAUACCGGAUAAUGUCUUCGGACCAAAGAUUUAUCGCCUUUGGAUGGGCCCGCGUUGGAUUAGCUAGUUGGUAGGGUAAAAGCCUACCAAGGCGACGAUCCAUAGCUGGUCUGAGAGGAAGAUCAGCCACACUGGGACUGAGACACGGCCCAGACUCUUACGGGAGGGAGCAGUGGGGAAUAUUGGACAAUGGGCGAAAGCCUGAUCCAGCAAUGCCGCGUGAGUGAUGAAGGCCUGAGGGUAGUAAAGCUCUUUUACCCGGGAUGAUAAUGACAGUACCGGGAGAAUAAGCUCCGGCUAACUCCGUG